rnacentral:rRNA from 1 species
CGCUGGCGGCGUGCUUAACACAUGCAAGUCGAACGAUGAAGCCCAGCUUGCUGGGUGGAUUAGUGGCGAACGGGUGAGUAACACGUGAGUAACCUGCCCUUGACUCUGGGAUAAGCGCUGGAAACGGCGUCUAAUACCGGAUACGACCUACCCCGGCAUCGGGUGUGGGUGGAAAGUUUUUCGGUCAAGGAUGGACUCGCGGCCUAUCAGCUUGUUGGUGAGGUAAUGGCUCACCAAGGCGACGACGGGUAGCCGGCCUGAGAGGGUGACCGGCCACACUGGGACUGAGACGCGGCCCAGACUCCUACGGGAGGCAGCAGUGGGGAAUAUUGCACAAUGGGCGAAAGCCUGAUGCAGCAACGCCGCGUGAGGGAUGACGGCCUUCGGGUUGUAAACCUCUUUUAGUAGGGAAGAAGGGCUUCGGCUUGACGGUACCUGCAGAAAAAGCACCGGCUAACUACGUGCCAGCGGCCGCGGUAAUACGUAGGGUGCAAGCGUUGUCCGGAAUUAUUGGGCGUAAAGAGCUCGUAGGCGGUUUGUCGCGUCUGCUGUGAAAACCCGAGGCUCAACCUCGGGCCUGCAGUGGGUACGGGCAGACUAGAGUGCGGUAGGGGAGAAUGGAAUUCCUGGUGUAGCGGUGGAAUGCGCAGAUAUCAGGAGGAACACCGAUGGCGAAGGCAGUUCUCUGGGCCGUAACUGACGCUGAGGAGCGAAAGCGUGGGGAGCGAACAGGAUUAGAUACCCUGGUAGUCCACGCCGUAAACGUUGGGCGCUAGAUGUGGGGACCUUUCCACGGUUUCCGUGUCGCAGCUAACGCAUUAAGCGCCCCGCCUGGGGAGUACGGCCGCAAGGCUAAAACUCAAAGGAAUUGACGGGGGCCCGCACAAGCGGCGGAGCAUGCGGAUUAAUUCGAUGCAACGCGAAGAACCUUACCAAGGCUUGACAUAUACGAGAACGGGCCAGAAAUGGUCAACUCUUUGGACACUCGUAAACAGGUGGUGCAUGGUUGUCGUCAGCUCGUGUCGUGAGAUGUUGGGUUAAGUCCCGCAACGAGCGCAACCCUCGUUCUAUGUUGCCAGCACGUUAUGGUGGGAACUCAUAGGAGACUGCCGGGGUCAACUCGGAGGAAGGUGGGGAUGACGUCAAAUCAUCAUGCCCCUUAUGUCUUGGGCUUCACGCAUGCUACAAUGGCCGGUACAAAGGGCUGCGAUACCGUAAGGUGGAGCGAAUCCCAAAAAGCCGGUCUCAGUUCGGAUUGAGGUCUGCAACUCGACCUCAUGAAGUCGGAGUCGCUAGUAAUCGCAGAUCAGCAACGCUGCGGUGAAUACGUUCCCGGGCCUUGUACACACCGCCCGUCAAGUCAUGAAAGUCGGUAACACCCGAAGCCGGUGGCCUAACCUUUUGGAGGGAGCCGUCGAAGGUGGGAUCGGUGAUUAGG